AGUGGCGAACGGGUGAGUAACACGUGAGUAACCUGCCCUUAACUCUGGGAUAAGCCUGGGAAACUGGGUCUAAUACCGGAUAGGAGCGUCCACCGCAUGGUGGGUGUUGGAAAGAUUUAUCGGUUUUGGAUGGACUCGCGGCCUAUCAGCUUGUUGGUGAGGUAAUGGCUCACCAAGGCGACGACGGGUAGCCGGCCUGAGAGGGUGACCGGCCACACUGGGACUGAGACACGGCCCAGACUCCUACGGGAGNCAGCAGUGGGGAAUAUUGCACAAUGGGCGAAAGCCUGAUGCAGCGACGCCGCGUGAGGGAUGACGGCCUUCGGGUUGUAAACCUCUUUCAGUAGGGAAGAAGCGAAAGUGACGGUACCUGCAGAAGAAGCACCGGCUAACUACGUGCCAGCAGCCGCGGUAAUACGUAGGGUGCGAGCGUUAUCCGGAAUUAUUGGGCGUAAAGAGCUCGUAGGCGGUUUGUCGCGUCUGUCGUGAAAGUCCGGGGCUUAACCCCGGAUCUGCGGUGGGUACGGGCAGACUAGAGUGCAGUAGGGGAGACUGGAAUUCCUGGUGUAGCGGUGGAAUGCGCAGAUAUCAGGAGGAACACCGAUGGCGAAGGCAGGUCUCUGGGCUGUAACUGACGCUGAGGAGCGAAAGCAUGGGGAGCGAACAGGAUUAGAUACCCUGGUAGUCCAUGCCGUAAACGUUGGGCACUAGGUGUGGGGACCAUUCCACGGUUUCCGCGCCGCAGCUAACGCAUUAAGUGCCCCGCCUGGGGAGUACGGCCGCAAGGCUANNACUCAAAGGAAUUGACGGGGGCCCGCACAAGCGGCGGAGCAUGCGGAUUAAUUCGAUGCAACGCGAAGAACCUUACCAAGGNUUGACAU
rnacentral:sRNA from 1 species